CAAAGGGUAGUUUAAGUAAAAUAUUAAUUUUGGGGAUUAAUGAUGAGAAAUUUUCUUUCCUUUGA
rnacentral:tRNA from 1 species